rnacentral:lncRNA from 1 species
AAAGAAAGAAAGAAAGAAAGAAAGAAAGAAAGAAAGAAAGAAAAAGAAAGAAAGAAAGAAAGAAAGAAAGAAAGAAAGAAAGAAAGAAAGAAAGAAAGAAAGAAAGAAAGAAAGAAAGAAAGAAAGAAAGAAAGAAAGAAAGAAAGAAAGAAAGAAAGAAAGUAAGUAAGUCAGGGAAAGCAAAGCGUGCUCGGUCGGGGCUGUGGCUAGGUGAUGGCAGGUUUGGGGCCAGGAAUGUGGGACAUGGCAAACGGCUCCAUCCAUCCUGCAGCACUGCAGCAGCAGCCCCAGCACUGAUCCCACUGAAACAGCACCGCAGCCAGAAAUAGAGGAAAAAAGAGAGAAAAAGAAGGAGGCUAAAAAAAAAGAAAAAGAAAGAAAUUGAAAAAGCAGAAGGGAGAGAGGAGGAAAAAAGGAGAGAAUUUUCCUUUUCAGUGUGGCUGUCAAAUGGAUAUCUUCUAGUGGGAGGGCUGGGAGGGAACAGAUAUCUGCCUCUCUCCGGAGCCUGCAAGUAUUUCUGCCAUUCAUGAAGCCAAGGGAUGCCACACACAUUCUGUUUGUUCAACAUAAGCAAACAGAUUGUAAACUGGCUGAUAAUUUUUGUACUGACAAUGUCAUUUACAGCUGUCAGCCUUUUGUCUGUCAUGUUUGCUUUAUUCAAAUAUGAACCAAGUGGACCUCCCUUCCACCGCUUUCUUCUGCAUUAAAAUCACAUCAAUUCUGUUCCAUUCUGUCUUAUCUAAAAUUCAUUGGAGGCCAAUCACUUGGAUGAAUGCUUUGGGGUUUCCAUGGAGGCAAGAAGUCUAGUGUGGACUUCAGGGGAUUAGGAAGUUUCAGAUUUAAAGCCUUGAAGUGCACGUUUCUUUCAGUUCUUUCUUUUGAUUAUAGAGGAAGGGGAAGGGAAAAGAAAGAAAGAAAGAAAGAAAAAACUCGGGAAACUUCAAGAUAAUUUUAUUUUCUGAAAAUGCUCAGUGCUAAGAAACCCCCCCUCCUAGCAUCCGUGUGCUGCUGCCUGGGCGGGGGAGGCUCAGACCUGAUUUUUUGCUUAAUCACAAUUUGCAGCUGUGAUCUUUCCAGCUGAGCUAAAAGGAGAACGCUGCAUUGGCAUCUAUUCCCCCUCAGCGUCCUCAACAGGGCUCGUAUAAUAAAUUCAGGCCCGUCUUCAAUUAGAUUGAUUUGGAUCCAGCUGCUUCCCAUGGUGCUGCCCGCAGGUCUGGAAGCAUCUCCCUUUGUUAAUAGAGGUCAUGGCACUUUGUGUUAAAUAAUUCACGUCGGGCUAUCUGUCUGUCUGUCUGGCGGCAGCUGCAGAUGUUGCCAGUUUGCACUGGGUCCGAUCCCCACGGCUGAUAUUUGUAGACAGGAGUUAUUUCAUGUUGGUUGAACGAGUGCUCAGCUGGUGUAAAUCGGGACAAAUCUGUACGGAGGAGCUCUGACUUGUCCUGCUUUUAUCUCUGCCUCCCUGCCCAAACCAUCCGAACGACGCAGGGACGGCAAUGCACACCCAAAGCACCCCUCCUCACCACCAGUCCCUGGUCAGUGUGUGGAGGUCCUGGCCAGGAAGAGGAAAGCAUCUGGGGGCUUUUGUAGGGCUGAAGGUAUUUGGGAGGCUCGGCUGAAGGAUUUCCCUCCGCUAGUCAUCUGCUUCCACAAAGUACAUCUCAGUCAAAACUCAUAUCGCAGUGACCCUCCUCCCCGAUGCAGAUUGAGUGGGGAAUGUAAAUGCCAUCUCCAUCAAUCCAGCCUUCUCCUCUCCCCUACGCUGCCGCUGCGUAACCCCGCUUACGCUUCAGCUCCACGUUCGGUCAAUAAAGCCAACGCACGCCCACGGAUACACAACACGCAUUGACAAACAAACAAGCCCAAGCAAACAAGCAAACAAAAGCUAAUCAAGACAUUUCUCCCAGCGUCAGGGAAGGCGAGGAAGGACUGCUAUUGUUUGAUUUAUGAUUUUUGCUCUAAAGGACCGUUGAUCCGCUCAGCUGCCGGGUGCCGGGAUGGGGAUGGCGAUGGCAGCCCCAAAGGACUUCGGUGUCCCCUCUGGGAUUUCUCACCCUCAUGCAAAGAGGUGAUGCUUUCUGCCCUGGAUGGGGGCAGGAUGAGGUGUUCUGCUGAUGGACAGGGCUUGGUGUAGGGGGAUGUUAGGUAGAGGUGACAAUGAUGUCCUUGUAUGGCUCCUGGUGAAUCUGUGCAGCUCUCAGAUUCCAUCAAGGUCGCCCAACUGUUAGGCUUUGGGCCAGGUAAAGACUACUGGUAACAGCAGCCUGGAUUGUGUGGGGAUGUGUGCAUGGGGCCCCUGUGGACUGGGAAAGAGUCCUGGCAUCAUCCCAGCUCCAGCAAAGCAGGGGAGAAGGCUUUCUUGAACGAAUUUUGCUCACGUAUCAAACAUCUAAAUUUGGUUGCUAGAUUUUCUUUCUUUUUUUUUUCUUUUUUUUUCUUUUUUUUUUCUUUUUGUAUUUGAUGCUUUGUUUUGGGCAUUUUCAUUAUUUUCCUUUCUUCUUCUUUUGCUUUGCUUCUCUUCCUUUCCUCAGUUCCUCCAGCUAAGGAAACCUUUGGAAGUGACAGAGAUUGUUCUCUUGUAACCCUGGUGCAUUUAAACAUUUUCAAAUCCCAGUGAUGGAGUUGCUGAUGGGUUUUGUUCUCUUACUGCUCUGGCUCAUCUUCCUUUCAAGUUGGAGGCUUUUUCAAAAUUACAAAGGAAAAAAAAGAAAAGGAGAAAGUGGGAAGGAGCUUUCCCCCAUCAUUUGUCUUACUGCAUAUAAUAGCAGAAAACAAUGACGAGUGGACAAUGGAGGGAGACGAGAGGAAACUUUGCCUUUGUUUCAGUAAUGUCUCAUUUCAAUCUGAAACAAAACUGAACGUGUGUUUGUGUGUGUGUGUGUGUGUGUGUGUGUAUGUGUGUGUGAGCGCUUCUUUAUAAACUCUAACAAAACAUAACAGGAUGAAAAUAUCACCCCAAAUGGAAGCUAGAUUCGGAAAGGGCUUUAAGUGGCUAAACUGGCUUUAAAUGGCUAAACUGAGUAUAUCAUUUUGAAAACACUGAUGGAGGCAUUUCUCCAAGCAUGAACUGCUCUUUUCUAUCCUGAAAAAGCAGCAGAGCUGCAGGAAAAAAAUGAAACCCUGCUGCUAUGACAGCUCCAGACUUCUCUCACUGGGAAGCUGCAUCCCACAGAAAGAGGAAUGUUCCCAGCUCAUUUCCAACCUGUGAGCCCAGGUGCUGCCAGGCUGUCCACAUGCUGUGCAAUCGGGCAGAGGCAGAUCAAAACCACUCCUGACACUCUUCCAGCUCCUCCUCGACAGAUUGAAAGCCUAUCUCCAUGUCAGGUCUCCUCCUCAGCAAAAACCUUGGCUUCUCUUCCAUGGCAGCUCAGCCUUGUGAGCAAUAAAUACCUCCAAACCUCUGAGAAAGCCAAUGGUGAAUGGAUGGAUGGAUGGAUGGAUGGAUGGAUGGAUGGAUGGAUGGAUGGAUAGAUGGAUGGCAGCCAACCGGGUCCUAAUGGCCGCGAGUGAUCCCACAAAGACUUAUCAAGUCAACCAAAAGAAAAUGAAGAUUCCUUUCUCUUUCUUUCUUUUUCUUAAAAAGAAACCAUAUGUACUUUCUUGUUGUUGUUGCCUUCCUUUCUUCUUUCUUUCUCUUCCAAACAAACCAGGGCGAAGCCCGCUGGGCUGCCACCUGGGCGGCGGGUUCAGCACAUGCGGCACAAAGCUCCCAUCCGCUCCUGGGAUAUUUACGACGUGUCCCCCAGUUGUCAUGUCAACCCAACAAGCGACUGCAGCACUAAAUCAAGCCAUCAGCAGGACAGAACAGAAACGCUAUGCAGAAUGCCUCCGAUGACUGACACGAAACAUGGCAUUUGUCAUUUCGCGAUGUUUUCUGUCUGUCCCUCUCUACGUUGGGGCCGGUCCUGUGGAAGAGGAAUGGGGUUGGGGGAGAAUACCAAUGAGAAGGCAAAGAUGACCUCCCUUUUAUGGAAAAACAAAAAAACAAAAAGCACACACACAAAAAAAAAAAAAACAGUGAGGAAAAAUGGUCGCUGGUUAGAGUAUCAGGUGGUGGUUCUCAUCGGGGUGGGGUUUUACUGUGUGCAUAGGCUCUCAGAAAUUCUGCAGCCACAUCAAUAGUGCCGCUGUCGGAGGUAUUUGCCUACAACCACCACUUCUUAACUCAAUUUGCCUCAGCAGUGAGCUCGUCUUCUCCCUCCUCCUUGCCCAGAGCAAUCCUCCGCCCUCGCGUUCAAAUUUAGCCAAGUGAGCAGGGCAGCAGUUAUGAAAGAGCACAUUUUUAUUGUAGCGAGUCCAUUUCCCCGAGGAAAUGGAGCAAAUAUGCUGAUUCGCACCGUGCCUGUCCAUCAGUCACUGUAAUAACUUUGGAGGCAGUAGGGCUCUCACGUCAAUUGCACUCCUUCAAGUUUUGUGCAAAUACAUUAGCUGGCGGUGGGAGGGAGGCACGGCUGCACCCACACUGGAGCGGGUGCGGGAGGGCCUGGGUGCCAGCCGCCGCAGCCGGCUCCAAAUCUUGGGCACUGGCCUUGUUUAGGAGUCAACAAAAGCCUUGUUUGGAGACCCAGAGCCAAACAAAACUCCGCAGUUUGCACUGAGUGCUGAUCACUCUUCAGUGGGAGAAAAAACUCUUGUGACCCAGUAUUUUGCCCGUCCUCACCUUGAAGCUUUUUUCAAUUUCUUUUUGCUCUCACUAUGGAAGAAAGUGCAGAAAACUGCAACCCACGGCACAAAAGCAUCCCCUAACCCUUGGCUCCAUUCCUGGCUGGGAGUAGCCUCUGGGGACGUGACUUCACCUCACAUAGCCCCAUGGAUGCAAGGGUGUGCAUUAUCCCAGCACCCACCCCAACGUCCAUCGCUGCAGUACCCAGUCCAUCCAUGAAGAAGCCAUUCUAUCCCUGAUAUACCAAGCCCAGCCCUGUGAUAUCCAUCCCUGCAGUCCCCAUCCCUGCAGUACCCAGCCCAUUUCUGCCGUGCCCAUCCCAUCCCCGUGGCACGCAGCCUGUCCCCGUUGUAUCCCCAUCCCAAGGGCUAUGCCUGCAAGGCACAACAGACCCUGACGCUCCAGGAAACCACAGGCUGAGGAAAAUGGUAGGGUUUCCUUGUCGGAUGAUCCAAAAUCAAAGCACUUCACUAGGAAAGCAAUGGAGGUAUGAAGGCUGUGAGUCCUGUAUCCUGGCGACAGAAGGAUGCUCUGGGCAGCAUCACCUGGUGCAGCAGUAGGAAUCCCUUCCCAUGCCAUGCAGGGUCACCUGGCUGUCAGCGGGGUCUUCUGCUGGCUCUGGAGCUCCUGGAUGCUGGUGGUGCUGGUGCUGCGCUCCUGCACCAGUACAGGCCAGGCAGAUCAGCACAGCGGGGCCACGCGGCGCCCGCACUAUAUGUACACUUGGUCAGGCUGUGUAAACUUUGACAUGUGGAUGUCAAUCUUUCUCAUAUUUGCAGAUGGCUUUAUCAGAGCGUGAUUAGUUUCUAGAACAAAUUUGAGCAAAAGAAAACAUUACCUACAGUAUGUAAGCCAACAGACCAGCUAGUUUUCAGAUUUGUCUAUUUACAUGGGCACUGGGUGUUUUGCUAAGGCUCUCUAAAAGUGAUGGUAAUUGAACAGUGCCAGUGUGUUAGUGGAAGCUGAUGAGUUGUAAAGGUUUUAUAAACAACCACGGUGGAUUUGGCUAUAGCCUUUCUAGUAAUGUUUGUUAAUCUCGCUGAGCGAGUGUGCACCUAACACAAUGUAAAUACUCCAGAAUUUGGAGGUGUCAAUAGUGUAACUUUUACUGUUUGUAAAAUCAUUCUCCGAUAUCAUCAGUAAGUUUACCAAAUGUCCCACGGCCAAAUAUAAUAAAAGCUUAAGUAAGCGUUCACGGAGGAAUAGGGGAAAACAUGUUUGCUAUUUUUAUUUCUGCCUCCUGUUUGUGAAAGGAUCGCAAAGAAAACAGGAAGCCAGCUAAUAAAUAUGGUCAUUCUGAUGUGUUUGGAGGUUUUCACGGGGCUUCCCGCUUCCUCGAUGGAGAAGGCAACAGAUUUGCACAAGGCUGGGCUCAGACCUGCUCCUGGUUCUGCGUGGGAAUGGGGCACCAGCCCAACACCGGCGCCAAAUCCCCAAGCAGCAUCGUGGCCCCAGGAAAGGAAUGCGCCGUGCCACAGACUGCAGAACACUGAAAUUUCAUCCAAAAUCCCAAUUUGCCACUAGAGGGCCCAAAAAUGGUACACGAUGUGCAGCUGAGGACCAGCAACCUGCUGCCGGGCUGUUUUUCCCUCUGGUUAAUAAAAAGGGUGUAAAGCCCAGCGCACGGCGAGACAGCAUCGAUGGCAGGGGGAGAUGAAGCAGCUGUGACAUUUAGAGGAGGAAUUUGUGAACCACAAAUAUGAGCAUGACUGACACAGCAUGGCAGCACAUAAAAUCAAUACAAAUAACCUAAACCUUAAUACCUUGAUCCCAGGGAAGAGCAUCGCAUUACCAGGGACUAUGAGGAGCAGCGGCCGUCUUGGCUCUGCCUGCUCGGUGCUAUCGAGCGGCUCCCGACGAGGCGUGGGGCCAAUAACAAUUAGGAUGCUCUUUAUGAGGAGGCUUUCCCUUCACUUCCCUGGAUCUUUGAGGGUGAAACGCGGCGUGUUUUGGUGAAGAGGAGAUGGAGUUUUUAUGAUCGACGGGGCUCGCUGCACCCGAGAAGUCACACACCUGUUAGGAG